rnacentral:tRNA from 1 species
ACUAAAAUGGCUGAUAAAAGUAAUAAACUGUAAAUUUAUUUAUGAGUAAAACUCUUUUAGUA